rnacentral:ribozyme from 1 species
UUUUUUUUUUUUUUUUUUUUUUUUUUUUUUUGUUU